rnacentral:rRNA from 1 species
GAUGAACGCUGGCGGCGUGCCUAAUACAUGCAAGUCGAGCGAAUGGAUUAAGAGCUUGCUCUUAUGAAGUUAGCGGCGGACGGGUGAGUAACACGUGGGUAACCUGCCCAUAAGACUGGGAUAACUCCGGGAAACCGGGGCUAAUACCGGAUAACAUUUUGAACCGCAUGGUUCGAAAUUGAAAGGCGGCUUCGGCUGUCACUUAUGGAUGGACCCGCGUCGCAUUAGCUAGUUGGUGAGGUAACGGCUCACCAAGGCAACGAUGCGUAGCCGACCUGGGAGGGUGAUCGGCCAACCUGGGACUGAGACACGGCCCAGACUCCUACGGGAGGCAGCAGUAGGGAAUCUUCCGCAAUGGACGAAAGUCUGACGGAGCAACGCCGCGUGAGUGAUGAAGGCUUUCGGGUCGUAAAACUCUGUUGUUAGGGAAGAACAAGUGCUAGUUGAAUAAGCUGGCACCUUGACGGUACCUAACCAGAAAGCCACGGCUAACUACGUGCCAGCCGCCGCAGUAA